rnacentral:ncRNA from 1 species
GAUAGCUACCUGCCGCUACUGUGAUUGGACACUGACGCAGAGUCAACUAGCCUAGUCCGGGUGGUUCUCCGCGCGUGGACCACACGGCGGUCCGAGCCACGAGGGGGGAGGCUCGGACCGUCUCCG